AUGUCGUUGCCCAAGGAACAUGGCGGCCUCGGCUUCCACGACUUGCAUGCUUUCAACAUAGCGAUGCUUUCACGACAAGUCUGGCGUCUGAUCCAGAUCCCAGAGUCUUUAUGUGCACGAGUCCUCCAAGCCAAGUAUUAUCCGCAUGGAGAUGUUCUAAAGCAUGAGGCAGUUCCAGGGUGA
rnacentral:rRNA from 1 species